AUAGUAAGAUAAGAUAAGAUGUGCUUUGAAUGAACUUGGACUCCGCAAGCAACAGAGGCAAGAUUCUGAAACAACCAUAUCUUGGUUUUACUUUUCAAGGAAAUUUCAAUGGACUAUGAUGAACGGUUGGUGAUUUCACUGAUUUGGGAUUGUCAGAGGUAAAAUGUCAGAUACACUUAGGUGGUGUCCGUGGCACCCUCCAUUGGAUGGCACCAGAGCCUUUUAAUGAGAGUAGCAGCCUUGCAUAGUGUCUGAAAAGGAGUCCAAAUACGGAACUCAGAUUCUGAGCCAAGUCCCAAGGAGCCCCAAAUUGAUUGUUCGGAUUACUUCUCUCAGUUGUCUUCUCGAGAUCUCUUAGAUCCUUUGUAGGGGGGAAGGAGGCCCACAUUAAGACUGAUUUGACGACUUUAGCAGGAAAACUUUAGGCCGGUGAAGAAUACAAAAAACGCAAUUGAGCUCUAAAGAAAUGAAAUUCAGUUGUAGUUCAUUUGAAAAGUGCAGCUAUAAAGUUCCCAAACCUGCUUCAAUUGACAGCUCUCCGAAUCUUCAAGCUAUAAGCAACAUUUGAGGUUCAAGAAUGCCGGUCAGGAUAAUGUUUGAGACAUGACUGACCUUGUACGAAUCUAUUCCUUGAAUCCUAAUGAAGGAUUCUUUUGGCAUGUCAACAACCUCUAGCUUUUCAAGAGCUUUCAUGAACUUCCAACUCUUCAGGAAGCAUUUCCAAAGACUAGCACUUGCUGAUCCGCAAGAGCCCGACCUGCGGCAUUGCUCCUUUUCUGAUUUUGAUCUCUAUCAAAUUAGGCAGGCAGCUCGUCAAGCUGAAGGAAUGUGAGGUUGUGACACUGGUUUUCUGAAGUUACUAGUUCUUUUCCUGCAUUGGCAUUAUUUUAGUUUCAGAGUGGAAAAGGUGUUCCUAACUUCUCCAGUGUUGGAAUGGGGUUUUCUGCAAGAUCUGUGGCAAGCAGCGUCGAAUGAUAAGAGUCUUGGGGGGAAAUUAUGAGCGCCAGGUAAGUCAGACAACCUGCCAGACAACUUUAAACGUUUGACAUAAUUGAGAUGGGAAUGGCCAAUCAAAGAUGGAAACCCCUCUUCUUCAUCCAUCAAUAAUACCAGGGGAGACAAUUAGGUUCUCAAGCUUAGUUAGCAAUUGAACUAAGAAGUUCAUCAAUUCUUGAUCUUCCUUCGAUCCGUGCACCCAAUUUCCUAAUGCUAGCUAAUUGGCAGCGCUAGUUUGUUAUCAAUCAGAGUAUUUAAAUGCACAUUACACAGAGUUCGGAGAUUCUUCAGAGCAUCAAACUUCAGUGAUUUUGGAAGCAACCUAGAGAGAGUGGAUGCCUUUUGAUCUUAAACAAAGAUACUUCUUUAGAAGACGAAGUUCACCAAUUUCUUCAGCUUCCGCAAGAUUAAAGAAGAUCAAGAUUCUCUCCAGCAAACGACAAAACUAGCCAAGUCUUUGAGGAUAGUUAAAUCUUUCAGAGCAAGAAUGAACAACGAGAUGCUGGCAUUUAGGAUGUUCCACAUAACUUUAUCUUUCUAAAUUUAUUGAGAUGUGAAAGGCCAAUCAACGGAGGAAACCCUCUUCUCCAGCAAACGUCGACAAUUUCAGGGAGAACAUUAGGCUUUCAAGCAUGGCAAUAUAACUGAAAAGUUCUUCAUAUCUUGAGCAUCUAGGUACAAAGGGACACACCUUAUGGGUAUGCAACUUAAGCUAUGAAGUUCUCUUGCCCCUUGUUACGAACGCGUCUGCGAACCUUCGAGCCACGAGCUUCCCUCCCAACAUUGUAGGGUCAAGAGUGCCGGUCACGAUAAUGUUUGGGACAUGACUGACCUUGUAUGAAUCCAUUCCAUGAAGCCUAGUGAUGAAUCUUUUUGGCAUGUCCUCUACCUCCUCCUUU